rnacentral:rRNA from 13 species
CUCGACUGCGUGAAGUCGGAAUCGCUAGUAAUCGUGGAUCAGAAUGUCACGGUGAAUACGUUCCCGGGUCCUGUACACACCGCCCGUCACACCAUGGGAGCGGGUUCUGCCAGAAGUAGUUAGCUUAACCGCAAGGAGGGCGAUUACCACGGCAGGGUUCGUGACUGGGGUGAAGUCGUAACAAGGUAGCCCUAGGGGAACCUGGGGCUGGAU